CGAGCGGACAGAUGGGAGCUUGCUCCCUGAUGUUAGCGGCGGACGGGUGAGUAACACGUGGGUAACCUGCCUGUAAGACUGGGAUAACUCCGGGAAACCGGGGCUAAUACCGGAUGCUUGUUUGAACCGCAGGGUUCAAACAUAAAAGGUGGCUUCGGCUACCACUUACAGAUGGACCCGCGGCGCAUUAGCUAGUUGGUGAGGUAACGGCUCACCAAGGCAACGAUGCGUAGCCGACCUGAGAGGGUGAUCGGCCACACUGGGACUGAGACACGGCCCAGACUCCUACGGGAGGCAGCAGUAGGGAAUCUUCCGCAAUGGACGAAAGUCUGACGGAGCAACGCCGCGUGAGUGAUGAAGGUUUUCGGAUCGUAAAGCUCUGUUGUUAGGGAAGAACAAGUACCGUUCGAAUAGGGCGGUACCUUGACGGUACCUAACCAGAAAGCCACGGCUAACUACGUGCCAGCAGCCGCGGUAAUACGUAGGUGGCAAGCGUUGUCCGGAAUUAUUGGGCGUAAAGGGCUCGCAGGCGGUUCCUUAAGUCUGAUGUGAAAGCCCCCGGCUCAACCGGGGAGGGUCAUUGGAAACUGGGGAACUUGAGUGCAGAAGAGGAGAGUGGAAUUCCACGUGUAGCGGUGAAAUGCGUAGAGAUGUGGAGGAACACCAGUGGCGAAGGCGACUCUCUGGUCUGUAACUGACGCUGAGGAGCGAAAGCGUGGGGAGCGAACAGGAUUAGAUACCCUGGUAGUCCACGCCGUAAACGAUGAGUGCUA
rnacentral:rRNA from 1 species